UGUCCGACAAUAGGCUUCUAUGAAGUGCAAAAGUCAUUCGAUAGAACUCAAGCCAGAGGUGGCAACGUUGCAGAUGAAUUCACGUGCAACUCCUUCCUCACGACGGUGCCAAGGAAGUUAAAUCUGGUGCGACAGUCUGCAGAUGAGCCUGGACCUGGUGCAUACAAGCCUCUGCUGAAGUCCAAGCCCAAAAUGGCUUUAAUGGUGUCCAGACAACCCCGCUUCAAAGAGGACAAUUACUUCACCCCUGGCCCCGGAGAUUAUGAGCUGAGCCCAGCCAUUAUGGACACUCUUCUGAAGGGGACCUUCAAUGCUACCUUAUAUAAUCCACUCCUCAAUCCACCACAGACUCCGAGGCAUCCCGACCCCCCACUAUUCCAGGACCUGUGACAUCCAUCUGACCAUCAAACCACAUCAGACAUUAAGUAUGGAUACACAAAGCCCCUAUAAACUCUGCAUUUGCUGUGUUCAUCUUUCCUACUGUUGUUUUGCCUGUUAAUUUUAAUUAAUGUCAAAGAGUAGUGGGCAUAGAUAGAUAUAAAGUGAAAGGGUAAAAUUUUAAGGGAGACUAGACCAAGUGGGACCCGUUGGGUCCCUGUCACGCGGGAGCCCUGGUUCC